AUUGAACGCUGGCGGCAUGCUUUACACAUGCAAGUCGAACGGUAACAGGCCGCAAGGUGCUGACGAGUGGCGAACGGGUGAGUAAUGCAUCGGAACGUGCCCAGUCGUGGGGGAUAACGCAGCGAGAGCUGUGCUAAUACCGCAUACGAUCUAUGGAUGAAAGCGGGGGACCGUAAGGCCUCGCGCGAUUGGAGCGGCCGAUGUCAGAUUAGGUAGUUGGUGGGGUAAAGGCCCACCAAGCCAACGAUCUGUAGCUGGUCUGAGAGGACGACCGGCCAAACUGGGACUGAGACACGGCCCAGACUCCUACGGGAGGCAGCAGUGGGGAAUUUUGGACAAUGGGCGCAAGCCUGAUCCAGCAAUGCCGCGUGCAGGAAGAAGGCCUUCGGGUUGUAAACUGCUUUUGUACGGAACGAAACGGCUCUGGUUAAUACCCGGGGCUAAUGACGGUACCGUAAGAAUAAGCACCGGCUAACUACGUGCCAGCCGCCGCCGUAAUAC
rnacentral:rRNA from 1 species